rnacentral:tRNA from 1 species
GGGCAUAUAGCUCAGAUGAUAAGAGUGCUUGCCUCGAAUGCACAAAGCCCUGGGUUCAAUCCCCAGCACCCCCA